rnacentral:tRNA from 1 species
AUCUUUCUAGUAUCAAACAGUACAGAUGACUUCCAAUCAUUCAGUCUUGGUUUAACCCCAGGGGAAGAUA